rnacentral:rRNA from 1 species
GCACUACGGUGCUGAAGUAACAAAUGCCCUGCUUCCAGGAAAAGCCUCUAAGCAUCAGGUAACAUCAAAUCGUACCCCAAACCGACACAGGUGGUCAGGUAGAGAAUACCAAGGCGCUUGAGAGAACUCGGGUGAAGGAACUAGGCAAAAUGGUGCCGUAACUUCGGGAGAAGGCACGCUGGUGUGUAGGUGAAGUCCCUGCGGAUGGAGCUGAGACCAGUCGAAGAUACCAGCUGGCUGCAACUGUUUAUUAAAAACACAGCACUGUGCAAACACGAAAGUGGACGUAUACGGUGUGACGCCUGCCCGGUGCCGGAAGGUUAAUUGAUGGGGUUAUCC